UAUGUAGUGCCUGAUUUUAAAGGAUAAUCUUGAUAGGAUUAAUUAUGUGAUAGCCACCUUCAUAA
rnacentral:tRNA from 1 species